rnacentral:rRNA from 1 species
AUUGAACGCUGGCGGCAGGCCUAACACAUGCAAGUCGAGCGGAUGAAGAGAGCUUGCUCUCUGAUUCAGCGGCGGACGGGUGAGUAACGCCUAGGAAUCUGCCUGAUAGUGGGGGACAACAGUUGGAAACGACUGCUAAUACCGCAUACGUCCUACGGGAGAAAGCAGGGGACCUUCGGGCCUUGCGCUAUCAGAUGAGCCUAGGUCGGAUAGCUAGUUGGUGAGGUAAUGGCUCACCAAGGCGACGAUCCGUAACUGGUCUGAGAGGAUGAUCAGUCACACUGGAACUGAGACACGGUCCAGACUCCUACGGGAGGCAGCAGUGGGGAAUAUUGGACAAUGGGCGAAAGCCUGAUCCAGCCAUGCCGCGUGUGUGAAGAAGGUCUUCGGAUUGUAAAGCACUUUAAGUUGGGAGGAAGGGCAGUAAGUUAAUACCUUGCUGUUUUGACGUUACCGACAGAAUAAGCACCGGCUAACUUCGUGCCAGCAGCCGCGGUAAGAC